UACGUAGGGUGCAAGCGUUAAUCGGAAUUACUGGGCGUAAAGCGUGCGCAGGCGGUUUUGUAAGUCUGAUGUGAAAUCCCCGGGCUCAACCUGGGAAUUGCAUUGGAGACUGCAAGGCUAGAAUCUGGCAGAGGGGGGUAGAAUUCCACGUGUAGCAGUGAAAUGCGUAGAUAUGUGGAGGAACACCGAUGGCGAAGGCAGCCCCCUGGGCUAAGAUUGACGCUCAUGCACGAAAGCGUGGGGAGCAAACAGG
rnacentral:rRNA from 1 species